CGUAUUCGUUGUUUUAGUUACUUCUUGAUUCAGGCAGGUAUUCACCAAUAUUAGAUAUGUCACCUCCCUAAGUAACUUUAUCUCAAUGUUAUUCGCUUCAGAGAAGACAAAUCUUACGCACGACAAUAAAAUUAAAUAGGAUUCAAAAUAUAACUUAAUAAAAACUUUAAAUUAAAUAAAAUAUCCAACAAAAAAAAAUAGAGUUGAUCUUUGAACCCUAGCCUAAAAAGAUUUAGUUACUAAUGGUAACUACCGACAAAUUACAAAAGAAAUAAAAUAUAUCUUAAAGACUCGGACUGACGACUGAACUUCUCCUUUGAAGCUUCUAGUGCUUACCUUCCUCUUGAAGCGCUUCGCUAUGAAUGAGAAAUUAUGAAUGAAAUGCUUGGUAUUUAUAGGGAAAGUUUCCACCUGAAGUUGGACUAAAAAACGAGCUUUUUCCACUUAAAAGUAGCGAAAAUCAAUUCUUGCCCGAAUUUCUAUAAAUGUUUCUUUUUUUGAAGAAACCAAAAUGGAAUUAAAUAACCAAAACCAAAAGCAGUUACCAAGCACAAGGUGUGCCUAGAUAACUAUUACAAUAUAACAGAGUUUAUCACAAACGAAAGAAGAACACGAGAGUAGUUAGCCAAUACCCAAACAAGCUAAAGAGCUUGACCACCACCUCUGCGUGCCAAACACAAAUUAACAUAACAUUUUUGGCUUUCAGCCAUACUAACAAUAACAAUUUCACCUUGUCUAACAAACGGGGAACUAAUGUUACAACACUUUUGAAUAGCCGGUUGUUUCGUUCAAAGAAUUUAUCUGAUUGAGAAUGUUGAAUAAAUAAUGCAAAUAGAAAAUUUUAUACUCAUAUCCUAUCGUUAAAUGAUUUUAUACAUAAAAAUUCCUACUAUGAGUUCAACUUUUGCAAAACUAUGCCAUCUUCCCG
rnacentral:lncRNA from 1 species